UAGGGAAUCUUCCGCAAUGGACGAAAGUCUGACGGAGCAACGCCGCGUGAGUGAAGAAGGAUUUCGGUUCGUAAAACUCUGUUGUUAGGGAAGAAAAAAUGUAUAGUAACUAUAUACAAAAGAGACGGUACCUAACCAGAAAGCCACGGCUAACUACGUGCCAGCAGCCGCGGUAAUACGUAGGUGGCAAGCGUUGUCCGGAAUUAUUGGGCGGAAAGCGCGCGCAGGCGGUUUAGAGAGUCUGAUGUGAAAGCCCACGGCUCAACCGUGGAGGGUCAUUGGAAACUAAUAAACUUGAGUGCAGGAGAGAAAAGUGGAAUUCCUAGUGUAGCGGUGAAAUGCGUAGAGAUUAGGAGGAACACCGGUGGCGAAAGAGGCUUUUUGGGCUGCAACUGACACUGAGGCGCGAAAGCGUGGGGAGCAAACAGG
rnacentral:rRNA from 1 species